AGAACGAACGCUGGCGGCAUGCCUAACACAUGCAAGUCGAACGCGUGUAGCGAUACACGAGUGGCGGACGGGUGAGUAACGCGUGGGAACCUGCCCUGGAGUGUGGGAUAACCGAGGGAAACUUCGGCUAAUACCGCAUACGACCUGAGGGUGAAAGAUUUAUCGCUCUAGGAGGGGCCCGCGUCGGAUUAGCUAGUUGGUGGGGUAACGGCCCACCAAGGCGACGACGGGUAGCC
rnacentral:rRNA from 1 species